rnacentral:lncRNA from 1 species
AAAUACAUAACAAUGAGAUAUCAACGGAAAGAAACUAGCCAAUGAGAAGUUCCCCAAGUGGAAGCCAUCAUGUGACGUAUUCUUAAGGUUUUUUUUCAUCAUCGUACAUAGACGUUUACCUAAUUAAUUGCUUUCUGGAAAUAUAUUAACGAAUUUUCUAACGCAAUUACAAUGCACACUAAUUAAAUGUUUAUAUAAAUACUGAA